AGGCAAAUUUUUUGGGCCAGCUUUGACUCCCGUACGUGCCAUCUCGCCUCCCCCAAAUUCUCUCUCCGUGCGCAACCACAGGCACAGGCCGCCGCCGGCCAGUCUCCAGUGCUGCUGCCGUCGAGCCUCCUAUGCCGCGCCCCGCCCAGCCACCUUUGCUGUGCGCCUCCUAGCCACCACGCCAUUGCCGCCCGCCGCGCCUGCCUCCAGCAGUAGCUGCUGCCGUAGCGACCGGUGCGGCACCCAGGAAACAGCAGCGCCGCCCGCUGCCCCCAUCCACCAUGCCGUCGCCUCAGCCAGCAGCGCGACGAAGCCUCCAGCAGCUGCUCCCUCUAACGCCUCAAGCAGCAGACAUCUAGCAAGAGUAACCUGGACUACCAACUCUGGCACCUCCAUCUGGAAUAAGUCUUCUGUCACUCUCGAAGAGCAAGGUUACUCUUGCUAGAUGUCCUAUAUUGGUGAUGGAUCAAAGUUGGAUGAGUAAGCCAAGACAGGAUACUGCAUAUCAAGAUGGUGUUGAGCAAUUUUUGAAUUUCGCUUACCGUGACAUUCCACGUGAUAGCGAGAUACUUUGUCCUUGCAAAAAAUGCAAAAACAGAUUAAACCAGAGUCAUGAUGAAGUCAGAACACAUUUGAGAUGUGAUGGUAUUAUUCAAGGUUAUACGACCUGGGUUCAUCAUGGAGAAAUGUAUGACAGUCCACCAUUAGCAUUUGCUGCCGUUCCAAAUAACACUACAAACUUACCUACUUCGUGUGUCCCAAGUGCUGCUGCAGUACAAGAUGGCAUGAAAGAACUACUUGAAGCUGCAUUUUGCCGGGAUGAAAUGUUCGAGUCACUACCAAGUAUGUCUGAAGGUGAAGUAGGUGAUGUUGAAUCAUGAGUUCUUCAUCGUUCUCCAAGUUCUUCAAUUCAUAAUUCAUGAGUUCUUUAAUUACUUUUAUUUACAUUCAAGUUAUUCAUUGGAUUCUCGUUUGCAUC